GUGGCAAAAGAGUUGUGACCUGGCGUGCCCACGUGGACUCGCCCCUUACAACCCAUUUAUACAUCUUCAAAGCCUCCAGUUGAUCGAGGUCUGCAAAUUCCAAUAGCAUCAAUAAUCUCUCUAACCUUCCUAAACAAACUCAUCAUUCUAACCGAAUCAACAUGUAAAUCAGGGCUCUCCAGUUGAUCGAGGUCUGCAAAUUCCAAUAGCCCACUAUCUUCCCUGUGGUAAAUCAGCUGCCUACAACCACCCUCGAAUCACCCUCAACCAUAACCACCCUCCAACAGAAUCCGACAACAAAAGCUAAGAAGACAACGAAAACCCAACCCUUUCAGCGUCUGUUCGCUAAUCAAAUCCGUCAUCGCAAGAAUCGAUCCAGAAAUCACCAUAGCCCGGACCAUUUCUUACCCCCAAAACCCACACAUAUCCAAUUUCAAGCUCAAACUCACGUAUGCUCUAAACCCCUCUUCAAAAAAUGUCGACUUUGAUGAACUUUCAAAAAAUCCAAUUUCAAGCUCAAACUCCGCCACCAUAGAUGACACUUUUUAGUAAGUACAGAGUCAGAAUCAGCCUCAAAGAUGACAUUUUUAUUAUCAAAAUCAAAGUAAGCUCUUAGCCAGACUUGAGAAACACAACCUUUGACCUUAUUUUCAUCAGUUUUGAACUGGGUUUCGAUGUAAGGUUCUUGCAAUAGAAAAACAAUUGUUCCAUACUUGGCUCUUGGGUCUUGUACGGACCGGAAAAGAUUGAUGAUUUCUUGAAGCUUUUGGGGGAGUUCUUCAAUGGGUUGGAGUGUGUUGUUGUUGGGGUUUGAUGAUGAUUAAGAAGUGGAGUUAAUGGGAAAUGAUCUUGUGGGUAUUGAUUGGACUGUGUGGGGAAAGUGGGAAAGAAGAGAGGGUUAGGGUUUUGAAAAGGGGUAAAGAAUUGG
rnacentral:lncRNA from 1 species